rnacentral:rRNA from 1 species
ACGAUCCCUAGCUGGUCUGAGAGGAUGACCAGCCACACUGGAACUGAGACACGGUCCAGACUCCUACGGGAGGCAGCAGUGGGGAAUAUUGCACAAUGGGCGCAAGCCUGAUGCAGCCAUGCCGCGUGUAUGAAGAAGGCCUUCGGGUUGUAAAGUACUUUCAGCGGGGAGGAAGGGAGUAAAGUUAAUACCUUUGCUCAUUGACGUUACCCGCAGAAGAAGCACCGGCUAACUCCGUGCCAGCAGCCGCGGUAAUACGGAGGGUGCAAGCGUUAAUCGGAAUUACUGGGCGUAAAGCGCACGCAGGCGGUUUGUUAAGUCAGAUGUGAAAUCCCCGGGCUCAACCUGGGAACUGCAUCUGAUACUGGCAAGCUUGAGUCUCGUAGAGGGGGGUAGAAUUCCAGGUGUAGCGGUGAAAUGCGUAGAGAUCUGGAGGAAUACCGG